GGGGUUGCUAACUCAAUGGUAGAGUACUCGGCUUUUAA
rnacentral:tRNA from 4 species